AGAUUGAACGCUGGCGGCAUGCCUUACACAUGCAAGUCGAACGGCAGCACGGGAGCAAUCCUGGUGGCGAGUGGCGAACGGGUGAGUAAUAUAUCGGAACGUGCCCAGUCGUGGGGGAUAACGCAGUGAAAGCUGUGCUAAUACCGCAUACGAUCUA
rnacentral:rRNA from 1 species